UACGAAGGACCCAAGCGUUAUCCGGAUUUAUUGGGUUUAAAGGGUGCGUAGGCGGCCUAUUAAGUCAGGGGUGAAAGACGGUAGCUUAACUAUCGCAGUGCCUUUGAUACUGAUGGGCUUGAAUGUAGUUGAGGUAGGCGGAAUGUGACAAGUAGCGGUGAAAUGCAUAGAUAUGUCACAGAACACCAAUUGCGAAGGCAGCUUACUAAAGUAUGAUUGACGCUGAGGCACGAAAGCGUGGGGAUCAAACAGG
rnacentral:rRNA from 1 species